ACGAACGCUGGCGGCGUGCUUAACACAUGCCAGUCGAACGGAAAGGCCCUGCUUUUGUGGGGUGCUCGAGUGGCGAACGGGUGAGUAACACGUGAUUAACCUGCCCUUGACUUUGGGAUAACUUCAGGAAACUGGGGCUAAUACCGGAUAGGAGCUCCUGCUGCAUGUUGGGUGUUGGAAUGUUUCGGCUGUUGGGGAUUGACUCGCGGCUUAUCAGCUUGUUGGUGGGGUAGUUGCUUACCAAGGCUUUGACGGGUAGCCGUCCUGAGAGGGUGACCGGCGACAUUGGGACUGAGAUACGGCCCAGACUACUACGGGAGGCAGAAGUGGGGAAUAGUGCACAAUGGGAGGAAGACUGAUGAAGCAACGCCGCGUGCGGGAUGACGGCCUUCGGGUUGUAAAACGCUUUCGCCUGUGACGAAGCGUGAGUGACGGUAAUGGGUAAAGAAGCACCGGAUAACUACGUG
rnacentral:rRNA from 1 species